AGAUUGAACGCUGGCGGCAUGCCUUACACAUGCAAGUCGAACGGCAGCACGGGAGCAAUCCUGGUGGCGAGUGGCGAACGGGUGAGUAAUACAUCGGAACGUGCCCAAUCGUGGGGGAUAACGCAGCGAAAGCUGUGCUAAUACCGCAUAAGAUCUACGGAUGAAAGCGAGGGAUCGCAAGACCUUGCGCGAAUGGAGCGGCCGAUGGCAGAUUAGGUAGUUGGUGAGGUAAAGGCUCGACCAAGCCUUCGAUCUGUAGCUGGUCUGAGAGGACGACCAGCCACACGUGGGACUGAGACACGGCCCAGACUACUACGGGAGCAGCAGUGGGAUUUGACAUGGCGAAAGCCUGACUCCAGCC
rnacentral:rRNA from 1 species